UACCAUGCAGUCGAACGGUGAUGAGGAGCUUGCUUCUCUGAUCAGUGGCGAACGGGUGAGUAACACGUGAGCAAUCUGCCCUUGACUCUGGGAUAAGCGUUGGAAACGACGUCUAAUACCGGAUACGACCUUGGAAGGCAUCUUCUGGGGUGGAAAGAAUUUUGGUCAAGGAUGAGCUCGCGGCCUAUCAGCUAGUUGGUGAGGUAAUGGCUCACCAAGGCGACGACGGGUAGCCGGCCUGAGAGGGUGACCGGCCACACUGGGACUGAGACACGGCCCAAACUCCUACGGGAGGCAGCAGUGGGGAAUAUUGCACAAUGGGCGAAAGCCUGAUGCAGCAACGCCGCGUGAGGGACGACGGCCUUCGGGUUGUAAACCUCUUUUAGUAGGGAAGAAGCGUUAAAGUGACGGUACCUGCAAAAAAAGCACCGGCUAACUACGUGCCAGCAGCCGCGGUAAUACGUAGGGUGCAAGCGUUGUCCGGAAUUAUUGGGCGUAAAGAGCUCGUAGGCGGUUUGUCGCGUCUGCUGUGAAAACCCGAGGCUCAACCUCGGGCCUGCAGUGGGUACGGGCAGACUAGAGUGCGGUAGGGGAGAUUGGAAUUCCUGGUGUAGCGGUGGAAUGCGCAGAUAUCAGGAGGAACACCAAUGGCGAAGGCAG
rnacentral:rRNA from 1 species